rnacentral:lncRNA from 1 species
GAGUGCACCUGGCCUGAGAGCCCGCCAGGCCCUGCCCCUGCUCGGCUCCUCGUCUGCUGAAGCUCGGGACCUCUAGCCAGUGGCCCUCUGCAGCCACGGGGAAUGGGGCUGAGAGCCGGUUCCCGCUGCAGGGCAGACCACCUAGCUCAGCCGCAGCCACAGGGACAUCUGGCCCCGGACAGCGGGCUGGGAAGCCAGGGGCCGCCGGGACCUGGGGCUGGAAACCACAUCUGCCCACAGCCGCAGCCUCCUGCACCUGUCAUCCUGGCGGCGCCCUGACGUCGGAGAAGCAGCAGGCGCGGAGCUCCUGCAGCGGGCACCGCUGCAGCAACCCGACCCGGCGCAGGCGGCAGUGGAAGGCGGCCUGCUAGCACGGCUCCCGCGGCCCCAGGACCAGGGGUGCGGCCAGCACCGCCCUCACUCCCCGCGUCUCGUGGAUAUUGCCCUCCCUGGAGGCGGCUGGACCUAAGCGAGGCUCGCAGCGAUCGGCCCCGCGAAGACUCGCAUGCAGGGCUCAGGAUCCCGCAUUCUGGCGCCGCGGCACCGCACCUUUCAGCAGCCCUGCUCCUCUUCUUGUUGGUAAACUUUUGUCACUCUGCCAUGAAAAGCAUCCAGGCGUCCUUGAUUUCGACAUUGCGUGCACGCUCAGCCGAGCUCAUCAGACGGGCGGUUGUCCCCAGAGCCCGCGGGUAGCUUGUUCCCGGGCGGCGGCUCCUGCUGGAUGCAGCUCCUUGUGGGCCUACCAGGCUUGGUGGAGCCACAGCAGACCUGUGGAGAGGAAGAGUAAGGCGGGCUCUGCAGGGCAGUGGGCCGGGACCAUGAGAGAGGCGGGUCAGUCUGGGCUCCAAGCUCAGCCUCUCGGAUUCCCCGGGACCCACGGCUUAUAAUGCGCUUAAAUCCCACGCCUCGCCCGAGAGACAGCACGUCACCGUCACCGUCACCGCCUAGCGCCCCUGACCCGCUCCCACUCCGCUGCAGCGGAGGGUGUGUGAGGGAGAGGGACGCAGGGAGGGAAAAGCGUUGGGAGGGCAAACAUCUUUUCAUAAGCUUUUCCCCUUCUAUAUGCCAUCUCUGAUGGGAGCCUCUUUAGAUCUUUCGUCCAUUUACUAAUUGGGUUGUUCGAUUUCUUAUUGUUGAGUUGUAAGUGGUUUUUAAUGGUCUGGAUGCCAGACAGGUGUUUUGCAAAUAUUUUCUCCGUCUGUGGCUUGUUUCUCCAUUCUCUUAUUUCCUUUCCCAGAGCAAAAGUUUUUAAUUGUAACGACUUCAUACCAAUAUCUUCUUUCAUGGUAGAAAUUUGUCUUUUAUGUACUUUACUGUUGUAUCUACAAAGUAAUUGCCAAACCCAAAGUUACCUAAAUAUCCCUUUUGUUAUUUUACAGAAGUUUUACAGCUUUUGGAUUUAAAUUUAGGUCUAAAAAUUGAAUUCAUAAAAGUAGAGAGUAUAAUGAUGCUUACCAGAGGCUGUGUUGCUGGGGAGAAAAAUGGGAAGUUGUUCACAGAUGCAAAGAUUCAGUUAAACCGGAGAAAUGCGUUUUGAAAUCUAUUGCACAGCAGGAUGACUAUAGUCAAUAAUAAUGUACUGUAUAUUUAAAUAACAAAAAGUAAAUUUCAAAUAUCUAACCACAAAAAAUAAAAUUGAGGUGAUGGGUAUUUUUUAUUUUAUUUAUUUAUUUGUUUAUUUAUUUAUUUUUUUGAGACAGAGUCUCGCUCUUUCGCCCAGGCCGGACUGCAGUGGCAGGGUCUCGGCUCACUGCAAGCUCCGCCUCCUGGGUUCACGCCAUGAGGUGAUGGAUAUUUUAUCCUCGAUGUAGUCAUUCCUCAUUUUAUACACAUAUCCAAGCAUCACAUUGUACCCCAUAAAUGUAUGCAAUUGUGGUUUGACAAUUUAAAAUAUUAUUAACUUAAAAAUGUGUCGUUCGAGUUAAUUUUUGAGGAGCAAGGUCUGUGUCUCAAUUCUUUUUUUUUUUGCAUAUAUGUAUAUAUACAUACACGCAAUGUAUUCAUCACUGUUUUUGAAAAAGCUACCCUUUCUCCCUUGAAUUGCCUUUACCUUUUUGUAAAAGAUCAAUUGACUGUGUUUGUGCACUCUUAUUUCUGAGUUCUCUAUUCUGUUCCGUUGAUCACUUUGCAAGUCCUUGAACUUUGUUCCUCCCCCACAAUAUUGUUGGCUAUUCUUGUUAGUUUGUCUUUCUAUAUAAACUUUAGAAUUAGUUUGUCAAUUUCCACACAAUAAUUUAUUCAUGUUUUCACGAGAGUUGUAAUGAAUUUGUAAAUCACACUGAAGAGAACUGACAUCUUAACAACACUGGGUCUUAUUUUGUGAAUACAGAUGUCCCUUCAUUUAUUUAGAUCUUUAAUCCCUUUCAACAGAUUUUAUAGUUUUUCUCACAUAGACCCUGCCCAUAUUUUGCUAGAUUGUGUCUAUUUCAUUUUCUUGAUGCUAAUGAAAAUGGUAUUGGGCUUUUAAUUUCAAAUUCUCGUUGUUCAUUGCUGGAUGUAGGACAGCAAUUGAUUUUGUAUAUUAACCUUAUACCGUGCAACCUUGCUAUAAUCCAGAAGGGUUUUUGGCUGAUGCUUUGAGAUUCUCUACAUAGAAAAUCAAGUUAUCAGCAAGCAAAGGGCAUUUUAAUGCUCCCUUUCCAAUCUGUAUACCUUUUAUUUUAUUUUCUUGUCUUAUUGCAUUAGCUAGGAUUUUAGUAUGAUGUUGAAUAGGAGCAGUGAGAGGGGAUAACAUUUCCUUGCUUCUUUUGUGUAAAACAUCCCAUUUUUCACAUUAUGUAUGAUAUUGUCUGUAGGAUGUUCUUUUGGUAUAUGUUCUUUAUCAGUUGAGGAAUUUCCCUUCUAUUUCUAAUUUGCUGAGAGUUUUAACCAUGAAUGGGCUUUGGAUUCCGUAAAAUGCUUUCUUGAUCUAUUAAUAUAAUCAAAUAACUUUUCUUCUUUAGCUAGUUAUCUGAGGGAUUGCCUUAACUAUUUUGUGUUAAGCCAGGCUUGCAUACCUGGAAUAAAUCUCACUUGGUCUUGGUGUGUAAUUCAACAAUGUAUUGCUAGAUUCAGCAUGCUAAUAUUUUGUUGAGAAUUUUUGAUGAGAGACAUUUGUCUGAACAUUUUUCUUUAAAUGUCUUUUUCUGCUUUUGGUAUUAGAACUUCAUAAAAUGAGUUGGGAUAUGUUCCUUUUGCUUCUGUUUUCUGGUAGCAAUUGUAAAUAAUUGGUAUCUUUUCCUCCUUAAAUGUUUCAUACAAUUCGCUAGUGAAACAAUCUAGGCCUGUUGCUUUCUUUCUUGGAAGGUUGUUAAUUAUUCAUAUAUUUCUAUACUAGAUAAAGAGUUAUUUGAAUUA